GCCCUCUUUGCAGCUUCAAGUGAUCAGUCCUACUCCUCACCCUCCCCUGACUCUUAGUAUCUGAGCAACUUCCAAGAACAAACCAUCACUUGCACUGCACUUUGCUCAUUAGUCAUUACCCAUAUCAUGCCUCGCCUAUUGGGAAACCUUACACCUCAAAUCCUUGUUCAGGCACUUAGAUCCAUGCCUCGCCAAGCUACAUCCUCGCUCAAAGUGAGAACGCACGGAGGAACAAGAGGGUCAGGCCCCAGCCAUGGAAGCGUUGGAGGGAAAAGAAGGUCACCCAUCAGCCAGGGGAAAGGUGGACAACAUAAUGAGGUGGUUCAAAAAAUGCCGAAUGGUAACAACGGAAGCAAAUGAAAUGACGAGGCUAGGGUUGAAGCUAACGCGGCAAAGAAAUUGGGCAAUUAGAGAAUUAGAAAUUGCAAAGUUUCAGAAAACAUAUUUGAUAGAUGUUUUAAUUAAGACUAGUGAUUUUGAGUGUUCGUCAUUGUUAGUGAUUGUAUGAGUGCUUUGGUAGCAUAAGACAUUAAUUAGUAAGAUGUGUAGAUUAAUUAAUUCCAGUUCUGUCCUGUCAUGGCAUAUUGAUUGUGCUUCAUAACGUACAUCAGUAUGGUACCAGGCCAAUUAAUUAAUCUUGCUUGGCAAUAUUAUUCUAUUCUUGAAAUCUAAAUAAAGCUGUAUUAAUUUUCCUUGUUUGAAAAAA